AGCAGCCGCGGUAAUUCCAGCUCCAAUAGCGUAUAUUAAAGUUGUUGCAGUUAAAAAGCUCGUAGUUGAAUUUCGGGGUUAGCAGGUCGGUCGUGCCAAUGGUAUGCACUGGCCUUGCUGAUUCCUCCCUCUUGAUGAACCGUAAUGCCAUUAAUUUGGUGUUGCGGGGAAUCAGGACUGUUACUUUGAAAAAAUUAGAGUGUUUAAAGCAGGCAAGCGCUUGAAUACAUUAGCAUGGAAUAAUGAAAUAGGACGUUUGAUCCUAUUUUGUUGGUUUCUAGGAUUGACGUAAUGAUUAAUAGGGAUAGUUGGGGGCAUUAGUAUUCAAUUGUCAGAGGUGAAAUUCUUGGAUUUAUUGAAGACUAACUACUGCGAAAGCAUUUGCCAAGGAUGUUUUCAUUAAUCAAGAAUGAAAGUUAGGGGAUCGAAGACGAUCAGAUACCGUCGUAGUCUUAACCAUAAACUAUACCGACUAGGGAUCGGAUGAUGUAAUUUUUAAUGA
rnacentral:rRNA from 1 species